rnacentral:rRNA from 1 species
UACGGAGGGUGCAAGCGUUGUCCGGAUUUAUUGGGUUUAAAGGGUGCGUAGGUGGCCCGUUAAGUCCGGGGUGAAAGCCCACUGCUCAACAGUGGAACUGCCCUGGAUACUGACGGGCUUGAGUCCAGACGAGGUUGGCGGAAUGGAUGGUGUAGCGGUGAAAAUGCAUAGAUACCAUCCAGAACCCCCGAUUGCGUAGGCAGCUGACUAGGCUGGUACUGACACUGAGGCACGAAAAGCGUGGGGGGAGCGAAACAGG